UUGUGAUGAAACAAAACCGAAACAGCUGGAAUUACCGGCAGAUUGUCAGUGGUGACAAGGUUUUAUUCUGAUU
ensembl:snoRNA